UGUGUACCUGUCUCACUGUGUGUACCUGUCUCACUGCGUGUACCUGUCUCACUGCGUGUACCUGUCUCACUGUGUGUACCGGUCUCUCUGUGUGUAUCUGUUUUACUGUGUGUACCUGUCUCACUGUGUGUACCUGUCUCACUGCGUGUACCUGUCUCACUGUGUGUACCUGUCUCACUGCGUGAACCUGUCUCACUGCGUGAACCUGUCUCACUGCGUGUAUCAGACGUGCUCGAGGAGCUCGAUGUCGGCAGCUGAAGAGCUGGAGGGCAGAAGGAAGGAGGUGUUACCUGUAGGAGAGGCGGAGCUAAUGAGACGAGUGGCCAUGCCUAAAGAAAAGGAUCAGACUGAGAUUCUGAAAGAGAGGAAAAGCCCAGAGAUCCACCUGCUGAGAUCACCUGACCACCUCACACCCCUCCCCACUGAAAACAGUGUGCAGACAGCAGUAAUGGUGCGAGUGGGAACGGAGGAGGAGGAGGAGGAGGAAGAGGAAAAGCUCUCUGAUCAAAACCAAGAUCAAAUAAUUAAAGACUCGUUUGAUCUGACCCCCUCUAAACUCGGGACUCUGGUUUCAGUGAACAGCCUGUCCAGUCCUCCAGCGUCUCCCGGCUCGUCCCCUCCGUGUCCUCAGCUCCCCGACGGAUCACACUUCAUGUGUGUGUAGUGAAGAAUCAGUACAAUCAGCCACUGACAUCACUGAACAUUAGCAUAUGAAGGAAGUUCUGCUGCAGCUCUACACUGUUUAAUAUUCACUGAUCUGAGAUCUGUUCCUCCUCUCCACACUGAAGAGUCCCUGAUCCUUAUUUAUAAACUGAUUUAUUUCUGUUCUGUUUUUGGAUCCUGAUACAGAGUUUUAUUCUGUGUUUCAGUCGGAGAGAGAGAAGAAGCUCUGCUUUACAGAUAUAAAAAUAUAUACCUUUAAUUAUUAAAUACACUGAAAUCCAACCGUUCAGUACAGAAUAAUAAUCCCUCAAUCUCUCUCUCUCUCUCUCUUUCUCAAUCUCUUCCAGUCUCUCUUUUUCUUUCUCUCUCUCUCUCUCUCUCUCUCAAUCUCUUCUCAUCUCUCUUUUCUUGUCUGUCUCUCUCUUAAUCUCUCCUCUCGCUCUAUCUCUUGUCUUUCUUUCUUAAUUUCUUCUUGUCUCUCUCUCUUUUAAUCUCUUGUUUCUCUCUUAAUCUCUUCUGGUCUCUCUUUCUUUCUUUCUCUCUCUAUCUCUCGCUUUUUUAUUAUUUAUCCUCCUCUUUUAGCAGUUUUUAUCAGUUAUUAAACACUCCAGAUUUUAGCAGGACUGUUGCACUGUAUAAACCCUCACUGAGAUUAAUCUGUAUUAAUAUGAUAUUAAUCUGUAUUAAUAUCUGAUAUUAAUCUGUAUUAAUAUCUGAUAUUAAUCUGUAUUAAUAUCUGAUAUUAAUCUGUAUUAANNNNNNNNNNNNNNNNNNNNNNNNNNNNNNNNNNNNNNNNNNNNNNNNNNNNNNNNNNNNNNNNNNNNNNNNNNNNNNNNNNNNNNNNNNNNNNNNNNNNNAUGAUAUUAAUCUGUAUUAAUAUGAUAUUAAUCUGUAUUAAUAUGAUAUUAAUCUGUAUUAAUAUGAUAUUAAUCUGUAUUAAUAUGAUAUUAAAGCGGUACGGUGUAAAGGGCGAGUUUUAACGCUGCUGAUGAGAGAAAGUGUUAUUUUGGUUUUUAGUAUAAAUCUAUAAAUCUGUAAAUGUUGGAGAAACCCCUGCAGCACUGUUUCCUCACUCAUGAAUGUUUUGGCUUACAUUUUAUUUUUGUAAGGCUGAGAAAUAUUUAAUUAGAGUAUAAAGAGAGUAUUACAGGUUUAGUCGGGAUUCAGAUCUAGAGGAAUUAUAGCACAUGUAUAAGUAAAAAAGCAAUAAGCAGGUUUUGGUGUUAACAUUACUGUAGAAAAUGUAAAAAUCAUAUUGUAUAUAAUGUACACCAUAAAAUACGCAGAGCAGAAACUAUAAAAGGUUAUUAGAGUCAAUAUGCAAAUCUCAUCUGUUUUAUAUCAUGUGAAAUAAAUGUUGAUGUUCAUAUAAACG
ensembl:lncRNA